AGCCCUGCAGCGAGCUCCGCCCAGCUCUCCUCCCCAAGCUCCGCUGUCGACAACGCCGCUGCUCGAAUCCUUGCCGCCGCUCUCCUACACCACUGCAGCUCCUCCAUCACCUCCACCUCUCCUCGUCGUUGCCUCGAACCGCUACGCACAUCACCGAAACAGCAAACAUCGGCAUCGCCACCUUGUCCGUAGACACAUAGCCACGUUCUGGUUGAUAUUCGGGAGAAUAAUAGUUUGAGAAAGUCGUGACCACCAGAGAUCCGACGUAGCUUCAUAGUAGCCGAACUUUUGGUUUGAGCGUUUGGCUAAGAGGCGUUAUAUGGAGAGCCUCUUCUUGUUGAUGUUACCUUCAGCACAUUUUGUUUUGUUUUGUAAAAAUGCUUGUAACGGUGAUCUUGUGGGCUGUAAGUACCGAUCAUAUAUAUAUAGUUGCUCUGAUUUCUAUCAUCAGCAGGUUUAUGAAUUAUUUGGAAAAUAAACUAUGUGAGAUGAAUUGCUAGGCUUGACUCGUGCAUAAGACUUGUCUUGUGCACGGGUCGCUGCUGUCGCGCACCCCGUAUUUUAUGAAAUUCCGCUGUAGUUUCGGGGCGUGACAGUAAGGUGGUAUCAGAGCUUAGGUUUCGACGUUAGAAACCUUGUAGGGCACGCUAUCAUAAAGUAUAUGCGCUAGAUGAGUGUUAGCGUAUGGAUCAAUUAUGUGAUAUAUAUGUAUGUAUUCAUAUGUAUAUACAUGUUUGCAUAUAAAUAUUUUAUAUAGUAAAGCCUUUUAAGUUCAUUAAGGAGUGUUUAGAUGUUUAUUUUGUUUUACUUUGUCCUUUUUCUUCAGUAAGUUGAUGG